AUUGAUUCGAAUAAUGCACAGGGUGUGACGCCCCCAAAAUAGGUCCGCACAACCCAUUUUGAGUCGCCUAAAUACAUACUAAAGAAUUCAAAUACAAAUUUUUCUAUUUAUAACUAUUAAACUAUCGUGCAAAAUACGACAACACAUAUACUGUAAGUUUUAAUACAAACAUUGUACUGAAACUAGUACGACAAUAUCCACACUCAACUUAAAUUCUCAAUACAAUUAUUGUCACACUAUUUUAUAAUGUAUUGAGACACUUCUACAGUUUGGGACCAUCGCUCCAUUUCCCGGCUAGUUCCAGCUACACUCUCAUUUCCUGAGAAGAAUAAUGGAACAAAAAGGAAAAAGGUUAUACUCAAAUAGCCUAGUAAAGUAUAUCGUGACUAAGAUAAUAAAGAAUAAAUUAUCUUUAGCCUUCAACAAUAAUCAACCAGAGAGUUAUGAUAAUAUCAAUUUUCAACGAUAACUGCGACAGAACAACAAUCUAUUAGAAGAGUCAUAAUAGACAUAAUGUCUAUUAUCUUCUCCUAUUUAAAAAUUCACCAUCUAUACAUUACCCAUGUAACAUCAAUCAACAGUUCUUUUUGGCACCUAGGCCAAAGGAAACUUUUACCACUUACUUUUAUCUGUAACACCAAAGAUUAUAUAUGAUUUUACCAAUACAAAGUUCCUAUAAAUCAAUGGUUCAUCUUUGUACUAUAAGUCAAAGAUAUUUAUUUAUAACACCAAUGGUCAUGAUCAUGCCAAUCAACCGACAAUCUUUGCACUACGGGCCAAAGAGAACUUUCACCACGUGUCCUUAUCAUACCGACCAAACACACCAAACAAUUAUAUCGUAUUUUUACACAAGCGAAAGACGUUCACCAUAACUUGAUUCUUUGAUGAUUAGUACAAGUAACAAUAAUAUAAAGAAUGUAUAGAAGUUGUAUGAAUAACGAAAUAAAAGAAUAAACAUUCAAGAUUUAACAUUGAAUUUGUUAAAAGUUCAAUAAUGUUCAAAUUGUCAACAUAUUGACCAAAACGUAGAUUCAAAUUCAAGAAUGAUAUUCAAGAUUCAUAUUUCUAAGAUAACGAUUAAAAUUCAAUAAAAAAAGUCAGGCAAAUGAAAUGAUACUAGUUGAAGCGCAAACCUCCAAGGAAUUUCUAAUCAUUUCAAGAAUUAUAGAAGCAAUACUUACCAUAGUAAGUUUAGAUUUAAGAGUAUGAAAGAAAAUGAUAUCUCUUAUAAAUAUAAAAGAAAU
rnacentral:lncRNA from 1 species